GAGUCUCUUCUGGGUCGCUUAUCUGCCUUACAAGCAGAGGGUCAUAGGUUCGAGCCCUAUUGGUCCCA
rnacentral:tRNA from 1 species